rnacentral:rRNA from 1 species
UACGUAGGGUGCGAGCGUUGUCCGGAAUUAUUGGGCCUAAAGCAUCCGUAGCCGGUUCUACAAGUCUUCCGUUAAAUCCACCUGCUUAACAGAUGGGCUGCGGAAGAUACUAUAGAGCUAGGAGGCGGGAGAGGCAAGCGGUACUCGAUGGGUAGGGGUAAAAUCCGUUGAUCCAUUGAAGACCACCAGUGGCGAAGGCGGCUUGCCAGAACGCGCUCGACGGUGAGGGAUGAAAGCUGGGGGGAGCAAACCGG